rnacentral:rRNA from 1 species
ACCUGACUGCUAUCGGAUUGAUACUAAGCCAUGCGAGUCAUUGUAGCAAUACAAGGCAUACGGCUCAGUAACGCGUAGUCAACCUAACCUAUGGACGGGAAUAACCUCGGGAAACUGAGAAUAAUGCCCGAUAGAACAUUAUGCCUGGAAUGGUUUAUGUUCCAAAUGAUUUAUCGCCGUAGGAUGGGACUGCGGCCUAUCAGUUUGUUGGUGAGGUAAUGGCCCACCAAGACUAUUACAGGUACGGGCUCUGAGAGGAGUAGCCCGGAGAUGGGUACUGAGACACGGACCCAGGCCCUAUGGGGCGCAGCAGGCGAGAAAACUUUGCAAUGUGCGAAAGCACGACAAGGUUAAUCCGAGUGGUUUCUGCUAAAGGAACCUUUUGUUAGUCCUAGAAACACUAACGAAUAAGGGGUGGGCAAGUUCUGGUGUCAGCCGCCGCGGUAAAACCAGCACCUCAAGUGGUCAGGAUGAUUAUUGGGCCUAAAGCAUCCGUAGCCGGCUCUGUAAGUUUUCGGUUAAAUCUGUACGCUCAACGUACAGGCUGCCGGGAAUACUGCAGAGCUAGGGAGUGGGAGAGGUAGACGGUACUCGGUAGGAAGGGGUAAAAUCCUUUGAUCUAUUGAUGACCACCUGUGGCGAAGGCGGUCUACCAGAACACGUCCGACGGUGAGGGAUGAAAGCUGGGGGAGCAAACCGGAUUAGAUACCCGGGUAGUCCCAGCUGUAAACUAUGCAAACUCAGUGAUGCAUUGGCUUGUGGCCAAUGCAGUGCUGCAGGGAAGCCGUUAAGUUUGCCGCCUGGGAAGUACGUACGCAAGUAUGAAACUUAAAGGAAUUGGCGGGGGAGCACCACAAGGGGUGAAGCCUGCGGUUCAAUUGGAUUCAACGCCGGA